UCCUCCUUCCCCGCCGCCGCUCGGCCUCCUCCUUCCACCCCUCCGGCCGGCUCCUCUCCCGCUCGCGCCGCCUCCUCCUCCCCACCAGCGCCUCCCUCUCCUCCUCCCCCCUGCGCGCGAGAAGGAGAAACACCACCCACCCCCCGGAGCGCGAGGAGGACGACGCCGACGUCGAGAUCGCGGGCAUCGAGCCCGAGAUCCUGCGCCUCUCCUCCAGCUUCCUCCACCUCCGCGUCUUCCGGGGCCACGACGCGCAGCCGACCGGGACAGGGCCGCGGGCGAGGGGGGGAGGCCCCGCCCCCCCUCGAUCUAGACGGGGUCGUGGCCUGCCUCCACCACCGCCAGCCCGCCGCCGCGACGCGCCUUGCCGGCCGACGCCUCCGCUGUCCCGCCGCUAAUACAGGAGCCCAGCAGCGCCUCCCUCCCUGGAGGAGCCGCUCCCACCCAGCAGCGCAUCCCUCCCUGGAGCAGCCGCUCCUGCCUAGCAACGCCGCCGCCCGAAGCUGCGCCGGCGACCCGUCCAGAGGCAGGUACACACACAGUUGUUCUACAGAUUGAUGCUACGGCUGUACUGCAGUUCAAUGAGGAAGCGCGGACACUUCUUUUAAAGAAAUACAAGACUAUCAUUCACCCAGGAGAGGUUAAUCGAAUUAGGGAGAUGACGCUGUCCCCAUGGACAAGGUUAGUUGCUCCGAUCUGGACAAGCAACAGCUGCUGCUGCCGCUGCAGGUGGACGAGGCACGAGCCCUCAUGGCUCCUCCCUCCUCCUACCCCUUUGACGUGGGAUGAGGCGGCAAUAGUUGCAUUCUCUUUAUAUGAACGUGAAGACCUAGAAGGUCGUCUCCUCGAAAGGGAUGCUUCAUUUACAAGAGCAGCUCUCCCCAACAACACUGUUGUGAUGUACUGAAGCCUCCCAUUCCACACGCUCGGUACUUGCACCACAACGUCACUUCUAUGAGUUGUGGCCUAGGUUAGGGGAUCUCAGACAUUUAAAAUGCUUGGUUUAUGGGAUCUUUAUAUCGGUGGGGGUGUAUCAUCCAUCAUUGUUUGUUUUAGAUUUAAUCUGGAAAGCCUUCACAUUCCAUUGUCGAACAUUGGCAUGAGAGAGGGAUUUGACGGCUAUAGUGGAAAAGAAUUAGGAUAAACACCAGACAAUCAGCAUGGAAGAUGUGUUUAUGAACGACAUAUGGAGUGAACAUAAUGGCGAUAUUCGAGCCUUUCACUGAUUGCAAGAGCAAAGAUGGACUCACUGGCCACUGCGUCAUGACCGAAGAACUGAUUGAAGGAACAUUUCUUCAUGGUAUAUAGCAGCUAAUUGUUUAGUCUGUUUACUAUGCUACCCAGUAUAAGGAUGACACCAUAUAGUAAAUAGUCGAUAUGAAUUGUGACAGAUUCUGUUCCUGCAGGAACUUAGAUACCUAGAUAGGAGUAUGCAUAUAUCAUAUUAGUUAUAUUAUUGUUACUUCCUUGGUCGUAGGAACACAUUCAUCCAAUUAGGCAUCUGAAAAUGCUUGACUCAUAGUGCAGUUCUCCUAAAUUUAGGUGAACAAUCUUGAAAAAUAUUUUACUCUUUCAUUCACAUUUUAGAUGGCAGAUCAUGCUAACAAUCAGUCCAUGUGAUGAUCCAUUAAUCAUUUUGUUGAAAGAGCAUUUUCUAAAUAAACUGUUCUGUAGUUAGAAGAUACAUGUGCCUCAAUACCAUGAUGAAUCAAUUCCACCAGUUUGAUCUGUUCUGAAUCUGAAUGUGUUCGAAAACUACACGUCCUUUCUAUUGUCUUACUUUAAUAACAUCAUGUGUUUGAGAGUCAAAUAUAAAAUACAUUUUAUUCAUGUUUAAGUUAUACUAGCAAAAAUGCCCGUGCGUUGCAACGGGAGAAAAAAAAACUCUCUCUAAUCCAAUAAAGCCAUGGUUCAUAUUUCAAUUAAGGUGCAUCACCACAGAUCACCCAGGGCUGAUGCUUGGAUUAUAUCCAAGGCCCAUCUCAUGCCAUGAUUUAUCAAGGGGCUUAGUAUUGC